AAGGGCUUAGGCUAACAAUCGAGACCAAGGGCCUUCAAAGCCCUAAGUGAGGGUGAGAACCCCUCAGCCCUUA